GACGAACGCUGGCGGCGUGCUUAACACAUGCAAGUCGAACGGUGAAGCGCCUUCCUUUUUGGUGGGUGUGGAUGAGUGGCGAACGGGUGAGUAACACGUGAGUAACCUGCCCCCUUCUUCUGGAUAACCGCAUGAAAGUGUGGCUAAUACGGGAUAUUCUGGGUCUGUCGCAUGAUGGGUCUGGGAAAGAUAUUGUUUCGGUGGGGGAUGGGCUCGCGGCGUAUUAGCUUGUUGGUGGGGUGAUGGCCUACCAAGGCGGCGAUGGGUAGCCGGCCUGAGAGGAGGGUCGGCCACACUGGUGCUGAUGCGCCGUCCAGACGCCUCCUGCAGGAGGCAGUAGGGAAGAUUCUGGCACAGGCGGAGGCCGGACGAAGCAGCGACGCGGGAGGAGUGAUGGACUUCGGCUGGUAGUGCUCUUCUUUCAGCAAUGAAGCAGUGUUGCAUUGUGUGUGCGUGGCUUGACGGUACCUGGAUAAGAAGCGCCGGCUAACUACGUG
rnacentral:rRNA from 1 species